rnacentral:rRNA from 1 species
AGUGAACGCUGGCGGUAGGCCUAACACAUGCAAGUCGAACGGCAGCACAGUAAGAGCUUGCUCUUACGGGUGGCGAGUGGCGGACGGGUGAGGAAUACAUCGGAAUCUACUUUUUCGUGGGGGAUAACGUAGGGAAACUUAUGCUAAUACCGCAUACGACCUACGGGUGAAAGCAGGGGAUCUUCGGACCUUGCGCGAUUGAAUGAGCCGAUGUCGGAUUAGCUAGUUGGCGGGGUAAAGGCCCACCAAGGCGACGAUCCGUAGCUGGUCUAAGAGGAUGAUCAGCCACACUGGAACUGAGACACGGUCCAGACUCCUACGGGAGGCAGCAGUGGGGAAUAUUGGACAAUGGGCGCAAGCCUGAUCCAGCCAUACCGCGUGGGUGAAGAAGGCCUUCGGGUUGUAAAGCCCUUUUGUUGGGAAAGAAAAGCAGCAGGUUAAUACCCCGCUGUUCUGACGGUACCCAAAGAAUAAGCACCGGCUAACUUCGUG